CCUACGGGAGGCAGCAGUGGGGGAUAUUGCACAAUGGGGGGAACCCUGAUGCAGCGACGCCGCGUGGGUGAAGAAGGGCCUCGGCGCGUAAAGCCCUGUCAGCAGGGAAGAAAAUGACGGUACCUGAAGAAGCAGCCCCGGCUAACUACGGGCCAGCAGCCGCGGUAAUACGUAGGGGGCGAGCGUUAGCCGGAUUUACUGGGUGUAAAGGGGGCGCAGACGGCGAGGCAAGCCGGGCGUGAAAGCCCCGGGCCCAACCCCGGGACUGCUCUUGGAACUGGGUGGCUGGAGUGCAGGAGGGGCAGGUGGAAUUCCUGGUGUAGCGGUGAAAUGCGUAGAUAUCUGGAGGAAUACCGGUGGCGAAGGCGGCCUGCUGGAC
rnacentral:rRNA from 1 species